UGGGGAAUCUUGGACAAUGGGGGCAACCCUGAUCCAGCCAUGCCGCGUGAGUGAUGAAGGCCUUAGGGUCGUAAAGCUCUUUCGCCUGUGAAGAUAAUGACGGUAGCAGGUAAAGAAACCCCGGCUAACUCCGUGCCAGCAGCCGCGGUAAUACGGAGGGGGUUAGCGUUGUUCGGAAUUACUGGGCGUAAAGCGCACGUAGGCGGACCAGAAAGUUGGGGGUGAAAUCCCGGGGGCUCAACCCCGGAACUGCCUCCAAAACUAUUGGUCUAGAGUUCGAGAGAGGUGAGUGGAAUUCCCAGUGUAGAGGUGAAAUUCGUAGAUAUUGGGAAGAACACCAGUGGCGAAGGCGGCUAUCUGGACCGAUACUGACGCUGAGGCGCGAAAGCGUGGGGAGCAAACAGGAUUAGAUACCCUGGUAGUCCACGCCGUAAAACGAUGAGUGCCAGUCGUCGGGUAGCAUGCUAUUCGGUGACACACCUAACGGAUUAAGCAUUCCGCCU
rnacentral:rRNA from 1 species